rnacentral:rRNA from 1 species
UACGUAGGGUGCAAGCGUUGUCCGGAAUUAUUGGGCGUAAAGAGCUCGUAGGCGGCUUGUCGCGUCGUCCGUGAAAACCUGCGGCUCAACUGCAGGCUGGCGGUCGAUACGGGCAGGCUGGAGUUCGGUAGGGGAGAUCGGAAUUCCUGGUGUAGCGGUGAAAUGCGCAGAUAUCAGGAGGAACACCGGUGGCGAAGGCGGAUCUCUGGGACGGUACUGACGCUGAGGUGCGAAAGCGUGGGGAGCAAACAGG